rnacentral:misc_RNA from 1 species
CCGCCAAUGAUCACCACAUCGGCAUCAAUAUCGUCUUGCAGAGCAGGAAAAUGCAACGGGUAUUUUUUCGUCGCGCCGUAGUAAUUCAACGCAUCGAUUUUUGUAUUCAUCGCGUUACCUUGUCAUCACGCUUGACUAAGACCGCUAUCACAGCACGGUAACGUUUUACAAAAUAUCGUCCGGAAGAAUGACGUUCUUUGGAACGAUAUUCAGUUCCAGGCAAGUAUGUUGAGAUGGAAAACGUAUAUUCCUGACCUACAAGCACUUCUGAUGAGCGACGUGACAUUACUUGCCGAAGUAACGACUUUUUUACGCCAACGACACGGACAAUUUAUUGCAGGUGAACGUCAGGCCGGAAACGGCACGAACUUCUCGGUCACUAACCCAGCCACCGGCAAAAUCAUCGCCGACGUUGUGU